AGCGAACGCUGGCGGCAGGCCUAACACAUGCAAGUCGAACGGAUCCUUCGGGAUUAGUGGCGGACGGGUGAGUAACACGUGGGAACGUGCCCUUUGGUUCGGAACAACUCAGGGAAACUUGAGCUAAUACCGGAUGUGCCCUUCGGGGGAAAGAUUUAUCGCCUUUAGAGCGGCCCGCGUCUUAUUAGCUAGUUGGUGGGGUAAAGGCUCACCAAGGCGACGAUCAGUAGCUGGUCUGAGAGGAUGAUCAGCCACAUUGGGACUGAGACACGGCCCAAACUCCUACGGGAGGCAGCAGUGGGGAAUCUUGCGCAAUGGGCGAAAGCCUGACGCAGCCAUGCCGCGUGAAUGAUGAAGGUCUUAGGAUUGUAAAAUUCUUUCACCGGGGACGAUAAUGACGGUACCCGGAGAAGAAGCCCCGGCUAACUUCGUGCCAGCCGCCGCGGUAAAAC
rnacentral:rRNA from 1 species